UGCGUAGGUGGUUUCUUAAGUCAGAGGUGAAAGGCUACGGCUCAACCGUAGUAAGCCUUUGAAACUGGGAAACUUGAGUGCAGGAGAGGAGAGUGGAAUUCCUAGUGUAGCGGUGAAAUGCGUAGAUAUUAGGAAGAACACCAGUUGCGAAGGCGGCUCUCUGGACUGUAACUGACACUGAGGCACGAAAGCGUGGGGAGCAAACA
rnacentral:rRNA from 1 species